rnacentral:rRNA from 1 species
UGGUGGAGCGAUUUGUCUGGUUUAUUCCGAUAACGAACGAGACUCUGACCUACUAAAUAGUGGGCGGAUUCUGCCUGUCCGCAACACUUCUUAGAGGGACAAGCGGUGUUCAGCCGCACGAGAUUGAGCAAUAACA